GUAAGUCAGGCGCUAGACAGGCCGGUUAGUUCUCAAGGGUACCUACGUACACACUCUUUUUUUUGUUUUCAUGGGGGUCGAUUUUCUGGAACAACAUGUACGUACAUAUACCUCACCUGGUCGAUCAUGUCUGGAGCCUUAAACCAUGGGGGAUCAUUUUGGCAGUAUUGGCCAAAUCCGUUUUGGCACCGGUUUUGUGAAGACAGCAAAGUGUCUCAAAGAACUCAGAAGAUAUGUCCAAAUUUAUGUUGUAAACGCUAAAUAAAAUUCGAAUUUUCGGUCUUUUCCUGGU